GACGUAGGGCGCGAGCGUUGUCCGGAUUUAUUGGGCGUAAAGAGCUCGUAGGCGGCUCAUCGCGUCUGCCGUGAAAACCUGUGGCUCAACUACAGGCUUGCGGUUGAUACGGGUGGGCUGGAGUUCGGUAGGGGAGACUGGAAUUCCUGGUGUAGCGGUGAAAUGCGCAGAUAUCAGGAGGAACACCGGUGGCGAAGGCGGGUCUCUGGGCCGAUACUGACGCUGAGGAGCGAGAGCGUGGGGAGCGAACAGG
rnacentral:rRNA from 1 species